UGAGAAUUCUGUGCUUGAAGCAAUGUUUUAAUAAUAAAUGUGUAACAAAAUAGCAUAACAAGAAAAGGAAUGAAGAAGCCGAUUGUUACCUGGACAAUUAUAACUGUGAACUUCAAGUUUAAUGGCAUUUGGAUGUUACGAUAAUUUUGUUCACAAACCCACUGAUCAACAUUAAUUUUAUAACAUUCAUUGAAGUAAUAGGUAAUGAUGGACAAGCAGGCAGAAAUGACCCACACAAAUAAGCAGAUCAGUUUUUUGUAUGCCAUAGCAGUAGUUCUGAAUUUGAAAGACUUUGUGACCUGCACAAUUGCAACAUAGCGGUCAAUGCCUACACAUGCUAGUAAUAGCAUACUGCAAUUAAAGUUUAUUGCAUAUAUAGCUCUGACCAAUUUACACAUAAAAUCCUUGAAAAUCCAAUGUUCUUCAUGGUAAUAUACAGCCCAGAAUGGAAGUGUGAGAACAAGUAAUAUAUCCGCUAUUGCCAUAUUAAGGAGGUAAACGUCUGUCAUUGACUUUGCUCUCUUAUAGUAAUUGAAGGUCACAAUUACCAACAAAUUACCUAAAAGCCCGAAAGCAAAUAUCAGUGAAAAUACCACUGGUACCAAUUUUUUCUUAAUGUUUCCAAAAUCGACCAUUGUGCAUAGUUUGCUUUCUUCAUUAAUGUCAUAUACGGUUGGAUAUGAUUCG